AGAGAAGCUAGUUCUUUGUGAGUACAGUAAUCAGUGGCAGAAUUACAAGAGUGGAGAGGGGGAUACAUUAACAUGAGACUGGGAUAAAAGUGAAGAAGAAAACACCAAGACUGUUAGUUCUGCAGUGUAAUGGAGACAAUCCUGCAUUUACAUCUAUGCACAAAAUCAAGAUGCUGUUGUGGGAUGGGUUUGCAUCCAGGAUGAGGUUUAACUAUGUCUGGAAAGUGAAAUUAAAGAGAGAGGUUACAAAUACCCAUCAGCACUUGAA
rnacentral:lncRNA from 1 species